rnacentral:tRNA from 1 species
AGGAUUUUAGUUUAUAAAACAUUUGAUUUGCAAUCAAAAGAUAUUGUAACUUACAAUUUAUCUUA